UACAUGGGGUGCAAACGUUGCUCGGAAUUAUUGGGCGUAAAGCGCACGUAGGCGGUUUGUUAAGUCGGAUGUGAAAGCCCACGGCUCAACCGUGGAAGCGCAUCCGAAACUGCUUCGCUCGAGUCUCGGAGAGGAAGGUGGAAUGCUUGGUGUAGAGGUGAAAUUCGUAGAUAUCAAGCAGAACACCUGCGGCGAAGGCGGCCUUCUGGACGAUGACUGACGCUGAGACGCGAAAGCGUGGGGAGCAAACAGG
rnacentral:rRNA from 1 species